rnacentral:tRNA from 1 species
GCGUUGAUGGCACCGUGUGGCUGUUUUACAGCUAGAACCUUGAAACAACACGAUUUGUGUCUGCCUUCUAAGCGGGAUGUUGCAGGUUCGAGUCCUGCAGGGCGCGCCA